rnacentral:rRNA from 1 species
GAUGGACAGACCGCUGGUGUAUCUGUUGGCUUACCAAGGCCAUGGCAGAGUAGCCAAGUCUGGACGGGAUAAACGCUGAAGGCAUCUAAGCGUGAAGCCCCCCUCAAGAUGAGAUAUCCCAUCGCAAGAGUAAGACCCCUUGAAGAAGACGAGGUAGAUAGGUUAGAGGUGGAAGUGCAGUAAUGUAUGUAGCUGACUAAUACUAAUCGGUCGAGGGCUUAACCA